rnacentral:rRNA from 1 species
UGGGUUCGAUUCCGGAGAGGGAGCCUGAGAAACGGCUACCACAUCUAAGGAAGGCAGCAGGCGCGCAAGUUACCCAAUCCUGACACAGGGAGGUAGUGACAAGAAAUACCAAUACGAGGCAAUCAUGUCUAGUAAUUGGAAUGAGUGCGAUUCAAACAUCCCAACGAGUAUCAAUUGGAGGGCAAGUCUGGUGCCAGCAGCCGCGGUAAUUCCAGCUCCAAUAGCGUAUAUUAAAGUUGUUGCGGUUAAAAAGCUCGUAGUUGGAUUUCUGUCAGCGAGUGGCGCUCCGCCCCCUGUGGUGAGUAGUCGUCAUGCCGCCGGCAUCUUUCUGGGGAGCGUGUCUGCACUUCAUUGUGUGGUGCGCAAGCCAGAACUUUUACUUUGAGGAAAUGAGAGUGUUUCAAGCAGGCGAUCGCCGUGAAUACGUUAGCAUGGAAUAAUAGCAUCGGACCUCGUCCCAAAGCUGUUGGUUCCUUGGGAUGAGGUAAAGGUGAAUAGGGAUUGUUGGGGGCAUUCGUAUUACACUGUCAGAGGUGAAAUUCUUGGAUUUGUGUAAGACGGACUACUGCGAAAGCAUCUGCCAAAGAUGUUCUCAUUGAUCAAGAACGAAAGUUGGGGGAUCGAAGACGAUCAGAUACCGUCGUAGUCUCAACCAUAAACUACGCCGACUGGAGAUGGGAGGUCGUUAUAUUCUCGACACCUCCCCGCAUCUUGAGAGAAAUCAAAGUCUUUGGGUUCCGGGGGGAGUAUGGUCGCAAGGCUGAAACUUAAAGGAAUUGACGGAAGGCACCACCAUGAGUGGAGCCUGCGGCUUAAUUUGACUCAACACGGA